UACGGAGGGGGCGAGCGUUAUUCGGAAUCACUGGGCGUAAAGCGCACGUAGGCGGACUCUUAAGUCGGGGGUGAAAUCCUGGAGCUCAACUCCAGAACUGCCUUCGAUACUGAGAGUCUUGAGUCCGGGAGAGGUGAGUGGAGCUGCGAGUGUAGAGGUGAAAUUCGUAGAUAUUGGGAAGAACACCGGUGGCGAAGGCGGCGACCUGGUCCGAUACUGACGCUGAGGCGCGAAAGCGUGGGGAGCAAACAGG
rnacentral:rRNA from 1 species